rnacentral:rRNA from 1 species
AGCGAACGCUGGCGGCAGGCCUAAUACAUGCAAGUCGAGCGGCCGUAGCAAUACGGCAGCGGCAGACGGGAGAGUAACACGUGGGAACGUACCUUUCGGUUCGGAACAACCCAGGGAAACUUGGGCUAAUACCGGAUACGUCCGUAAGGAGAAAGAUUUAUCGCCGAAAGAUCGGCCCGCGUCUGAUUAGCUUGUUGGUGAGGUAACGGCUCACCAAGGCGACGAUCAGUAGGUGGUCUGAGAGGAUGAUCAGCCUCACCGGGACUGAGACACGGCCCAGACUCCUACGGGGGGAAGCAGUAGGGAAUGUUGAACAAUGGGGGCAAGCCUGAUCCAGCCAUGCCGCGUGAGUGAUGAAGGCCCUAGGGUUGUAAAGCUCUUUGGGCGGGGAAGAUAAUGACGGUACCCGCAGAAGAAGCCCCGGCUAACUUCGUGCCAGCAGCCGCCGUAA